rnacentral:rRNA from 1 species
GAUGAACGCUGGCGGCGUGCCUAAUACAUGCAAGUCGAGCGAACGGACGAGAAGCUUGCUUCUCUGAUGUUAGCGGCGGACGGGUGAGUAACACGUGGAUAACCUACCUAUAAGACUGGGAUAACUUCGGGAAACCGGAGCUAAUACCGGAUAAUAUUUUGAACCGCAUGGUUCAAAAGUGAAAGACGGUCUUGCUGUCACUUAUAGAUGGAUCCGCGCUGCAUUAGCUAGUUGGUAAGGUAACGGCUUACCAAGGCAACGAUGCAUAGCCGACCUGAGAGGGUGAGCGGCCACACUGGAACUGAGACACGGUCCAGACUCCUACGGGAGGCAGCAGUAGGGAAUCUUCCGCAAUGGGCGAAAGCCUGACGGAGCAACGCCGCGUGAGUGAUGAAGGUCUUCUGAUCGUAAAACUCUGUUAUUAGGGAAGAACAUAUGUGUAAGUAACUGUGCACAUCUUGACGGUACCUAAUCAGAAAGCCACGGCUAACUACGUG